CGCUCCAGGUUAGUCGGGAGCUAAGGUGAGGCCUAACGGCGUAGCCGAUGCACAGACGGUAGAGAUUCCGUCACCACCAAAAGAGUUAAACACAGGGACACAUUUGAAGUCUCGGAGCCGGGUGUUGGUUCCGGUAGUGAUCGAGGGAAAUUAGUACCGAAGUCCGGGAUGGAAGAUGGCGAGAAAAGCUGUGUGUAUUUCUGCGGUGCCCGUACCGCAAACCGACACAGGUAGGUAGGAAGAAGAUUCUAAGGCCAACGGGAGAAGGGUUGUUAAGGAACUCGGCAAAUUGACCCCGUAACUUCGGGAGAAGGGGUGCUCUAGAGAUAGAGCCGCAGAGAAUCGGCCCAAGCAACUGUUUACCAAAAACACAGGUUUGUGCUAAAUCGAAAGAUGACGUAUACGAGCUGACGCCUGCCCGGUGCUGGAAGGUUAAGAGGAGAUGUGCAAGCAUUGAAUCGAAGCCCCAGUGAACGGCGGCCGUAACGAUAACGGUCCUAAGGUAGCGAAAUUCCUUGUCAGGUAAGUUCUGACCCGCAUGAAAGGCGUAAUGAUUUGGGCACUGUCUCGACAGCCCGCCCGGCGAAAUUGUAGUACCGGUGAAGAUGCCGGUUACCCGCGACAAGACGGAAAGACCCCAUGGAGCUUUACUGUAGCCUAAUAUUGGGUUUCGAUGUUGCAUGCACAGGAUAGAUGGGACACUGGGAAGCAAGUGCUUUGGCAUUUGUGGAGUGGCCGUUGGGAUACGAUCCUUGCGAUAUUGGAAUUCUAACCUGCGCCUUUGAAUCAAGGCGGGGGACAUUGUUAGGUGGGCAGUUUGACUGGGGCGGUCGCCUCCUAAAGAGUAACGGAGGCGUUCAAAGGUCCGCUCAGCUUGAACGGAAAUCAAGCAAAAGAGUGCAAACGCAGAAGCGAGCCUAACUGCGAGACUGACGGGUCGAGCAGUAACGAAAGUUGGAGUUAGUGAUCCGGUGGUAUGUGAGUGGAAAUGCCAUCGCUCAACGGAUAAAAGUUACCCUGGGGAUAACAGGCUGAUCUCCCCCAAGAGUCCACAUCGACGGGGAGGUUUGGCACCUCGAUGUCGGCUCAUCGCAUCCUGGGGCUGUAUUCGGUCCCAAGGGUUUGGCUGUUCGCCAAUUAAAGCGGUACGCGAGCUGGGUUCAGAACGUCGUGAGACAGUUCGGUCCCUAUCUGUCGUGGGCGCAGGAUAUUUGAUGGGAGCUGUUCCUAGUACGAGAGGACCGGAGCGGACGUACCUCUGGCGCACCAGUUGUUCUGCCAAGGGCAUAGCUGGGCAACUAUGUACGGAUCGGAUAAACGCUGAAAGCAUCUAAGCGUGAAGCCGACCCAAAGAUAAGAUAUCCCAUUGUUUCAAACAAGUAAGACCCCUUGAAGACUACAAGGUUGAUAGGCAUGAUGUGUAAGUGGAGUGAUCCAUUCAGCAAGCAUGUACUAAUAGGUCGAGGGCUUGACCU
rnacentral:rRNA from 1 species